rnacentral:rRNA from 1 species
UAUCCGGCCUGAGAGGGUGAACGGACACACUGGAACUGAGACACGGUCCAGACUCCUACGGGAGGCAGCAGUAGGGAAUAUUGCUCAAUGGGCGCAAGCCUGAAGCAGCAACGCCGCGUGGAGGAUGAAGGUUUUAGGAUUGUAAACUCCUUUUGUGAGAGAAGAUAAUGACGGUAUCUCACGAAUAAGCACCGGCUAACUCCGUGCCAGCAGCCGCGGUAAUACGGAGGGUGCAAGCGUUACUCGGAAUCACUGGGCGUAAAGAGUGCGUAGGCGGGGUUGUAAGUCAGGUGUGAAAUCCUAUGGCUUAACCAUAGAACUGCAUUUGAAACUGCAACCCUAGAGUGUGGGAGAGGUAGGUGGA